rnacentral:tRNA from 1 species
GGGCGAGUGGCGGAAUCGGUAUACGCGCAUGUUCGAGGGGCAUGUGCCGCAAGGCUUGAGGGUUCGAGUCCCUCCUCGCCCA